rnacentral:rRNA from 1 species
CUGUCCUACGGGACGCAGCAGUUAGGAAUAUUCGUCAAUGGGGGAAACCCUGAACGAGCAAUGCCGCGUGAGUGAUGAAGGUCCUUUGGAUUGUAAAACUCUGUUGUAUGGGAAGAACGACCAGACUAGGAAAUGAGUUUGGAGUGACGGUACCAUGCCAGAAAGCUCCGGCUAACUACGUGCCAGCAGCCGCGGUAAUACGUAGGGAGCGCGCGUUAUCCGGAUUUAUUGGGCGUAAAGGGUGCGUAGGCGGCUUGUUAAGUAUGAAAUUAAAGCCCGGGGCUUACCUCCGGUUCGUUUCAUAA